rnacentral:rRNA from 1 species
AUUGAACGCUGGCGGUAGGCCUAACACAUGCAAGUCGAGCGGCUGCAGGGUGAUUGCUUCCUCAUACAGCUGCGGAGUGGCGAAUAGUGGCUGGGUACAUCCCAAUCUGCGGUGGAUAGGGUGAGAACGCAGGGAAUAAUACGGCAUAAGCCCUUAGGGCGUACGUGUGGAAUCAUAGGAUCUUCGGCCCUCACACGAGCGUAUGUCCCGAUGUCGGAUUAGCUAGUUGGCGGGGUAAAGGCCCACCAAGGCGACGAUCCGUAGCUGGUCUGAGAGGAUGAUCAGCCACACUGGAACUGAGACACGGUCCAGACUCCUACGGGAGGCAGCAGUGGGGAAUAUUGGACAAUGGGCGCAAGCCUGAUCCAGCCAUACCGCGUGGGUGAAGAAGGCCUUCGGGUUGUAAAGCCCUUUUGUUGGGAAAGAAAAGCAGCAGGUUAAUACCCCGCUGUUCUGACGGUACCAAAAGAAUAAGCACCGGCUAACUUCGUG